rnacentral:tRNA from 1 species
UCCCCGAUAGCUCAGUCGGUAGAGCAACUGGCUGUUAACCAGUGGGUCGCAGGUUCGAGUCCUGCUCGGGGAGCCA